AGCGAAACGGGAAGAGCCCAAACCAACAAGCUUGCUUGUUGGGGUUGUAGGACACUCUAUACGGAGUUACAAAGGACGACAUUAGACGAAUCAUCUGGAAAGAUGAAUCAAAGAAGGUAAUAAUCCUGUAGUCGAAAAUGUUGUCUCUCUUGAGUGGAUCCUGAGUACGACGGAGCACGUGAAAUUCCGUCGGAAUCUGGGAGGACCAUCUCCUAAGGCUAAAUACUCUCUAGUGACCGAUAGUGAACCAGUACCGUGAGGGAAAGGUGAAAAGCACCCCGGAAGGGGAGUGAAAUAGAACCUGAAACCGUGUGCUUACAAGUAGUCAGAGCCCGUUAAUGGGUGAUGGCGUGCCUUUUGUAGAAUGAACCGGCGAGUUACGAUUUGAUGCAAGGUUAAGCAGUAAAUGUGGAGCCGUAGCGAAAGCGAGUCUGAAUAGGGCGUUUAGUAUUUGGUCGUAGACCCGAAACCAGGUGAUCUACCCUUGGUCAGGUUGAAGUUCAGGUAACACUGAAUGGAGGACCGAACCGACUUACGUUGAAAAGUGAGCGGAUGAACUGAGGGUAGCGGAGAAAUUCCAAUCGAACCUGGAGAUAGCUGGUUCUCUCCGAAAUAGCUUUAGGGCUAGCCUCAAGUGAUGAUUAUUGGAGGUAGAGCACUGUUUGGACGAGGGGCCCCUCUCGGGUUACCGAAUUCAGACAAACUCCGAAUGCCAAUUAAUUUAACUUGGGAGUCAGAACAUGGGUGAUAAGGUCCGUGUUCGAAAGGGAAACAGCCCAGACCACCAGCUAAGGUCCCAAAAUAUAUGUUAAGUGGAAAAGGAUGUGGCGUUGCCCAGACAACUAGGAUGUUGGCUUAGAAGCAGCCAUCAUUUAAAGAGUGCGUAAUAGCUCACUAGUCGAGUGACACUGCGCCGAAAAUGUACCGGGGCUAAACAUAUUACCGAAGCUGUGGAUUGUCCUUUGGACAAUGGUAGGAGAGCGUUCUAAGGGCGUUGAAGCAUGAUCGUAAGGACAUGUGGAGCGCUUAGAAGUGAGAAUGCCGGUGUGAGUAGCGAAAGACGGGUGAGAAUCCCGUCCACCGAUUGACUAAGGUUUCCAGAGGAAGGCUCGUCCGCUCUGGGUUAGUCGGGUCCUAAGCUGAGGCCGACAGGCGUAGGCGAUGGAUAACAGGUUGAUAUUCCUGUACCACCUA
rnacentral:rRNA from 1 species